rnacentral:misc_RNA from 1 species
AGCAAAUGGGUGAAACAAACGAGUAAUUAUGCGUAAAAUAUUGGGUACAAGAUGAAAUUUUCAUUUAGAAAUGUAGGGAUUGUGAAAGACCAGUUUCUUGGUUGAGAUGAAGAGCGAUGAGCCAAGUUUCUCAAUUGAGAUCAUCAAGAAUAGUGAAUUUUCGUAGCAGAGGGAUGGUGCAUAUAGAGAGAGAGAGAGAGAGAGAGAGCGAAAGAGAUUUUUAAGAUUUGAAAAGAAUCCCAGUGAGACCCAGCCCCAGUGACACCAUUAGCGGGAUUGAAGGCCAUGUUUCCCCGAUUCUCUCACAGAUAGCAGCAGUGGCUAUCGCGGAAGUCAAAUGGGACAGAUGAGGCAGAUAAGGAGAGAGC